rnacentral:rRNA from 1 species
UGGUGGAGUGAUUUGUCUGGUUAAUUCCGUUAACGAACGAGACCUCAGCCUACUAAAUAGUCGCGCGAACAUUCGUGUUCGUAGUUCGACUUCUUAGAGGGACUGUCUGUUUCUAACAGAAGGAAGUCUGAGGCAAUAACA